ensembl:lncRNA
GGAAGGUUCUUACAGCCAGUUAUAUGAAAAACAAAACAAAACAAAACACCUCUGAAGGAUGGUUUACACAAGAAAACAGAACUCAGCCAGUCGGAAUGACACAAUAUACCAUAACAACUCCGCUCAGCUGGGGUCCUAGAAGACACAGCGAGACCUGCCUAGUGGGCAGCAGCUUGAGCUACUUUUAGUUUCACUUGGCUGGUAAUGGAAAUAACAAGAUACUUGGAAACACAUCUUCCUUGACUUGUAAUGGGGUUACAUCCUGAUAAACCCACUGUAAAUUGAAAAUACUGUAAGUUGAAGAUGUUUUUAGUAUACCUUACCUAUCAAACAUCAUAAUUUAACCUAGCCUAUCUUAAAUAUGCUCAGAACCCUUAUACAAGCCUACAGCUGGAAAAAAAAUCAUCUAACACAAAGUAUAUUUUAUAAUAGAGUGUUGGAUAUCUCAGAUAAUGUGCUGAGUAGUGUGGUGAAACUGAAAGACAAAAUGGUUGUAUGGACACAGAAUGGCUAUAAAAGUGUCCAUUGCUCAUCCUCAUUUGACCGACCAGCAUUGCUGGAGAGUAUCAGAUUGCAAUCACUAGCCUGGGAAAAGAUCAAAAUUCAAAAUCUGAAGCAGAGCUUUUACUGGAUGUGUAUCACUUUUGCACCAUCAUGAAGUUGAAAAAUCAUAAGUCAAACCAUCAUAAGUCUGUAUAUACCAAUUUAUUAAUGGAAUUUACUUCAUGAGUUUACUGAGUAAUAAUGAAUAUGGAAGGAACAUAAUUGGAGCAUAGGUAAUAGGGAAGUCAGAGGAGGAAGAAAAUGGGAAUCAACAGAAGAGAACCUUUUAGUCUCUCUCAACAGCCACCCCAGUGUUUGCUCAGUGAUUAAAGGACAGUGUCCAAGGCCAUUCAGAUAGAAGUACAAAAGUUAAGCCACAUGGACGUGCUUUCUCUAAGGGUGAUCUGGCGAGUGAACAGUAUGGCUGAAUAUGCAAUCUGCCAAGACUUGAGAUGAACGCUGAGUCCCUAGUGUGGCACCAUUUCCCAGCACCAGCCACUCACCUGGUGACAAACUGACAGGUUGAAUUUUUAUAUCUUAUUAAGGGUAUUUUUAUAUCUUUAUAUCUUAUUAAGCAAUUUGAGAUCUGUGGAACAGACACUUCAGUUUAGUUCAGGUCAGUUGCUCAGUCAUGUCUGACUCUUUGUGACCCCAUGGACUGCACCAUGCCAGGCAUCCCUGUCCAUUGCCAACUCCUGGAGUUUACUCAAACUCAUGUCCAUUAGUGAUGCCAUCCAAC